rfam:Triticum urartu cultivar G1812 contig481708, whole genome shotgun sequence.
GACAUACUCCUUCCGUUCCGAAUUACUUGUCGCAUGUAUUGAUGUAUCUAGAUGUAUUUUAAUUCUAGAUACAUUCAUUUUUGCGACGAGUAAUUUGGAACGGAGGGAGUAGCUA